rnacentral:rRNA from 1 species
UACAGAGGUCUCAAGCGUUGUUCGGAUUCAUUGGGCGUAAAGGGUGCGUAGGCGGCGCGGUAAGUCGGGUGUGAAAUCUCGGAGCUUAACUCCGAAACUGCAUUCGAUACUACCGUGCUUGAGGACUGGAGAGGAGACUGGAAUUUACGGUGUAGCGGUGAAAUGCGUAGAUAUCUGGAGGAACACCGGUGGCGAAGGCGACGUCCUGGACCGGCAUUGACGCUGAGGCGCGAAAGCCAGGGGAGCAAACGGG